rnacentral:rRNA from 1 species
AACUCUUAGCGGUGGAUCACUCGGCUCAUGCAUCGAUGAAGAACGCAGCUAGCUGCGAGAACUAAUGUGAAUUGCAGGACACAUUGAUCAUCGAUACUUAGAACGCACCUUGCGGCCCUGGGUUCCUCCCGGGGCUACGCCUGUCUGAGGGUCG